rnacentral:rRNA from 1 species
UGGCAGGUACAGAGGGGUGCUACCGGGUGACCGGAUGCCGAUCUCGAAAACCUGUCCCAGUUCGGACUGGAGUCUGCAACCCGACUCCACGAAGUUGGAUUCGCUAGUAAUCGCGCAUCAGCCAUGGCGCGGUGAAUACGUUCCCGGGCCUUGUACACACCGCCCGUCAAGCCAUGGGAGCCGGGGGCGCCUGAAGUCCGGGACCGCGAGGACCGGCCUAAGGCGAAACUGGUGACUGGGGCUAAGUCGUAACAAGGUACC